rnacentral:rRNA from 1 species
CCUACGGGUGGCAGCAGUGAGGAAUAUUGGUCAAUGGUCGGGAGACUGAACCAGCCAAGCCGCGUGAGGGAGGAAGGUACAGAGUAUCGUAAACCUCUUUUGUCAGGGAACAAAGACUGGGACGCGUCCCCGGAUGAGUGUACCUGAAGAAAAAGCAUCGGCUAACUCCGUGCCAGCAGCCGCGGUAAUACGGAGGAUGCGAGCGUUAUCCGGGUUUAUUGGGUUUAAAGGGUGCGCAGGCGGUCUGUUAAGUCAGCGGUCAAACCCCGGGGCUCAACCCCGUCCCGCCGUUGAAACUGGCAGUCUCGAGUGGGAGAGAGGUAGGCGGAAUGCGCGGUGUAGCGGUGAAAUGCAUAGAGAUCGCGCAGAACUCCGAUUGCGAAGGCAGCAUGCCGGCUCCACACUGACGCUGAGGCACGAAAGCGUGGGUAGCGAACAGGAUUAGAUACCCGAGUAGUC